rnacentral:rRNA from 1 species
UAGCUAGUUGGUGAGGUAAAGGCUUACCAAGGCGACGAUCUGUAGCGGGUCUGAGAGGAUGAUCCGCCACACUGGAACUGAGACACGGUCCAGACUCCUACGGGAGGCAGCAGUGGGGAAUUUUGGACAAUGGGGGCAACCCUGAUCCAGCCAUGCCGCGUGAGUGAAGAAGGCCUUCGGGUUGUAAAGCUCUUUCGGCCGGGAAGAAAUCGCAUGGGUCAAUACCCUGUGUGGAUGACGGUACCGGAAUAAGAAGCACCGGCUAACUACGUGCCAGCAGCCGCGGUAAUACGUAGGGUGCGAGCGUUAAUCGGAAUUACUGGGCGUAAAGCGUGCGCAGGCGGUUUUGUAAGACAGGCGUGAAAUCCCCGGGCUUAACCUGGGAACUGCGUUUGUGACUGCAAGGCUAGAGUACGGCAGAGGGGGGUGGAAUUCCACGUGUAGCAGUGAAAUGCGUAGAGAUGUGGAGGAACACCAAUGGCGAAGGCAGCCCCCUGGGUCGAUACUGACGCUCAUGCACGAAAGCGUGGGUAGCAAACAGGAUUAGAUACCCUGGUAGUCCACGCCCUAAACUAUGUCAACUAGGUGUUGGGGGGUAAAACCAUUUAGUACCGUAGCUAACGCGUGAAGUUGACCGCCUGGGGAGUACGGCCGCAAGGCUAAAACUCAAAGGAAUUGACGGGGACCCGCACAAGCGGUGGAUGAUGUGGAUUAAUUCGAUGCAACGCGAAAAACCUUACCUACCCUUGACAUGCCAGGAACUUGCCAGAGAUGGCUUGGUGCCCGAAAGGGAGCCUGGACACAGGUGCUGCAUGGCUGUCGUCAGCUCGUGUCGUGAGAUGUUGGGUUAAGUCCCGCAACGAGCGCAACCCUUGUCGUUAAUUGCCAUCAUUUGGUUGGGCACUUUAACGAGACUGCCGGUGACAAACCGGAGGAAGGUGGGGAUGACGUCAAGUCCUCAUGGCCCUUAUGGGUAGGGCUUCACACGUCAUACAAUGGUCGGUACAAAGGGUUGCCAAGCCGCGAGGCGGAGCCAAUCCCAGAAAGCCGAUCGUAGUCCGGAUUGCAGGCUGCAACUCGCCUGCAUGAAGUCGGAAUCGCUAGUAAUCGUGGAUCAGCAUGUCACGGUGAAUACGUUCCCGGGUCUUGUACACACCGCCCGUCACACCAUGGGAGCGGGUUCCGCCAGAAGUAGGUAGCCUAACCGCAAGGGGGGCGCUUACCACGGCGGGGUUCGUGACUGGGGUGAAGUCGGAACAAGGUAGCCGUAGGGGAACCUGCGGCUG